UAUAGGAGCACCUGAAGAUGAACAUGUGGCUCACAGUUUUAUUCAGAAAAGGGACAGAAAGCUCUAGAAAGCUAUUCAGAGCUGCUGACGGAGGACGUCGCCAGUCAGGCAGUUUGUCACCGUCACUGAGCUUCGCUGCACAGAGGCCACAAAUGGAUGACGAUGACGGCCUGGAGUCAGGAAGGAGCAGUGUGGGAAGGAACUGGAAAGCCGGCUUCCCGGUGGAAUAUAUAUCGGGCCAAAGCAGCAGGAAACGCUGUAUUUAAAAAUAAAGGUGCUCAGAUUGACACUUGA